GUCUCCUCGUGGGCAUCCGAUAAAACUGGAACGCUACAGAGAAUAUUAGCAUGGCCCUACCCAAAGAUGACACGCACAAAUCGAAAAAUGGUCUAAACUUUU
rfam:Arabis alpina cultivar Pajares scaff_58931_1_contig_0, whole genome shotgun sequence.